rnacentral:rRNA from 1 species
GAUGAACGCUGGCGGCGUGCCUAAUACAUGCAAGUCGAGCGAACGGACGAGAAGCUUGCGUCUCUGAUGUUAGCGGCGGACGGGUGAGUAACACGUGGAUAACCUACCUAUAAGACUGGGAUAACUUCGGGAAACCGGAGCUACUACCGGAUGAUAUUUUGAACCGCAUGGUUCAAAAGUGAAAGACGGCCUUGCUGUCACUUAUAGAUGGAUCCGCGCUGCAUUAGCUAGUUGGUAAGGUAACGGCUUACCAAGGCAACGAUGCAUAGCCGACCUGAGAGGGUGAUCAGCCACACUGGAACUGAGACACGGUCCAGACUCCUACGGGAGGCAGCAGUAGGGAAUCUUCCGCAAUGGGCGAAAGCCUGACGGAGCAACGCCGCGUGAGUGAUGAAGGUCUUCGGAUCGUAAAGCUCUGUUAUUAGGGAAGAACAUAUGUGUAAGUAACUGUGGACAUCUUGACGGUACCUAAUCAGAAAGCCACGGCUAACUACGUG